rnacentral:rRNA from 1 species
AGUGAACGCUGGCGGUAGGCCUAACACAUGCAAGUCGAACGGCAGCACAGUAAGAGCUUGCUCUUACGGGUGGCGAGUGGCGGACGGGUGAGGAAUACAUCGGAAUCUACUUUUUCGUGGGGGAUAACAUAGGGAAACCUACGCUAAUACCGCAUACGACCUACGGGUGAAAGCAGGGGAUCUUCGGACCUUGCGCGAUUGAAUGAGCCGAUGUCGGAUUAGCUAGUUGGCGGGGUAAAGGCCCACCAAGGCGACGAUCCGUAGCUGGUCUGAGAGGAUGAUCAGCCACACUGGAACUGAGACACGGUCCAGACUCCUACGGGAGGCAGCAGUGGGGAAUAUUGGACAAUGGGCGCAAGCCUGAUCCAGCCAUACCGCGUGGGUGAAGAAGGCCUUCGGGUUGUAAAGCCCUUUUGUUGGGAAAGAAAAGCAGCAGGUUAAUACCCCGCUGUUCUGACGGUACCCAAAGAAUAAGCACCGGCUAACUUCGUG